CCUACGGGUGGCAGCAGUGAGGAAUCUUGGUCAAUGGGCGCGAGCCUGAACCAGCCAAGUAGCGUGAAGGAUGACUGCCCUACGGGUUGUAAACUUCUUUUAUAAAGGAAUAAAGUGAGGCACGUGUGCCUUUUUGUAUGUACUUUAUGAAUAAGGAUCGGCUCACUCCGUUCCAGCAGCCGCGGUAAUACGGAGGAUCCGAGCGUUAUCCGGAUUUAUUGGGUUUAAGGGGAGCGUAGAUGGGUUGUUAAGUCAGUUGUGAAAGUUUGCGGCUCAACCGUAAAAUUGCAAUUGAUACUGGCAGCCUUGAGUACAGUUGAGGUAGGCGGAAUUCGUGGUGUAGCGGUGAAAUGCUUAGAGAUCACGAAGAACUCCGAUUGCGAAGGCAGCUUACUAAACUGCAACUGACAUUGAUGCUCGAAAGUGUGGGUAUCAAACAGGAUUAGAUACCCCAGUAGUC
rnacentral:rRNA from 1 species